CCGCCGCCAGCCCACCGUCGAUCUCGCCCACGGCCGCCGCCUCCAGCCCACCCCUCCCCACCGUCCUCGCCCAUGGCGGCCUCCCCACCUCACCCCACCGCCGACCUCGCCCGCGGCCAACGCCCUCCGCCCCGAAGGCCGAGGUCGUUCCCGUCUCUCGCCCCUGUGCGUGCGCAUACGUCGUAGGCAAGCGUGAGGAGUGGUCGGGUCAGUUGCUUCUUCCCUUCUCGCUUCUCCCGUCACCAUCGCUUCGCCGCGUCUCUCACCUUACCCCUUUCCAUGAUGCAUUGCGGAACUAUUUCUGGAGGUCGCCGCCGCCGCAUUAGUCACUGGAUGGUGUUCCCCUGCUCCGUUGUAAGUAAAAAAAAAACACUGCUUUUCCAGAGAGGCUAUAUCCCUACCUCUGGCCGGAACCGAUAUUGGGUCUUCUGUUUACGUCCGAGAUGAGUUCCCAAGAAAUCCUGUUUGUUUAUUGCCUUUUUGCAUUCUUUUGCAGUGUAUGGAUUUAUUCAUUUUUAAUGUUGCAAGAAAUGGCUUUGUUCUCUAUGCUAGCUCACAGUUUAGAUGCUACUGCUAGGUGUGCUAUUAACAAUCACAUUGGUAGAUCAUUGAAAAACUGAAAAGAUUAAUAUCACUGUAAUUUUCAUCCUUGCCAUGUGCUUCAGGAUAUGGAGUGUAUGCAUCUGAAGACGUGAAGAUGUUGACUCUUUUUCCUUGCUAGGUGCUUCAGGACAUGCAGUGUAUAUAUGAGAAGAUGUACUCUUCUUCUUAGAUCACUGGAUGCUAUUUGCCCACUACUGUUCGAGGCCCAAUUCAGAGUUACGUAACAGGCUGACUGAUUUCCCUUAGAGAAAAAUAAACUAUCAUGUACUGCUUGGAUCACCACGUAUGACGGUGGCUGGCGUUCGUUUUUCUCUCAUCCCGCACUUCCCUGGAUCCAACUCUGAAAGCACCAUGCUAAUUAAUUGCUAUUGCCGCUGGUCAUGAUUAUUGCUGCUAUUUUUUUCAUCUUCCUAUGGAUUUGUUUCCUCCUAUAAAUACUUCCCGUCCCAGUGCCAGUACGGUUAGAUGCAGAUUUACAUCAAGUUCCAAUUAGCCAAAGCAAAAUAUAAGCUGAUGGUUCAAGGUCUCAAAGAAUUAAUGUAGCUUUCACAUUCUUUCUUCUUUGGCCCUUGUACUGUGGUCUAUUAUUGCUUUUCCACUGAAUCACUAGUCUUUUUUCUACAUGUACGAUGUGUGCUUGUGCAGGCGCUGCUUUCAGAAGACAAUGAGUCCGGAACAGACGAGUGAAGAUCAUUGCUGGAUAGUUUCAUAGUUCGAUUUCUACCAGUCCAACCGAUUCAUGUCCUCUGGCUAUUUUUCUGGGAACUACUGUGCAUCCGAAGGAGGAUAUCACUAGUCCACUUGCAGUUCAACUAAUGAUCGACCAUGUUCCGGUAUUUUGGAAAUAGUGAAAUGGCAUGUGUGUCAGAUGAUGCUGCUCCUGAUCAUGAACCUAGGUAACAUAGAAAUGUGUGUAUUUAGUUGUCAUUGCUCUGUGCAAUGUGAUCUAUGAGAAUCAGAGUGGUGUCAUGUAUAUGUACAAAUGUUCUUGCUUUUGAGCAAGUCCAUGUACAACUUUUCAUAUGUAAUUUACUGGAUGUUGAAUGAUGGUUCAGUUGAUUUAUAUGUAUGUAAACAUUAAUUU